AUUGCAGUAAACCAGUUUAUACUUAUAUCGUUCUUUGAUUUCUCUUAAAAAAUUUAACACAGGCUACAGAGAUUAAGUUGGCUAUUUCAAAAAAUAACUUUGGGAUAUAUGCUUAACAUUUUACCUUUCCUGUGCUUACAGAAUGCUUUUGGCUCAAAAGGGCCUUUCUAUUUUUGUAUUUAUCCUUUAUAGGGUAGAAUUCUUACUUUGUGUAAGAUCGAUAAUUCUUACUUUGUGUAAGAUACUAUCGAUAAGCUUUGUUCCUCCACAAGAGCCAUGAAGGCAGAUAUUCUGUCCUUUCUAAUCUUUGUGCAGCUGGCAGAAGAAAAGGUCGUGUGAUCCCACUGUGUCCCAACCUAAGAUUUUCUGCCCCUGCUUUCUCACACUAAUAGGUAACAUUUAUACACCAUUGUAAUUUUUAUUUUUAAUUGGUUUGUUUUCAAUUUUAACAGAGGAUUUCACCAGUGCAAAGUGCAUUUCAUUUUUGAUGAGCAGGGAAAAUAUAACCCUUUGACAAGCACCCAGGAAUAUUCUGUGAAAAAGACUAAGAUAUCAGAGAAAUUAUUAGUGCACAUUAUUAGAAGAGAGCUUCAGAUGAAAAUAAAGGGAAUGAGGAUGCUACUGACAUCUAGUAGGCAGAGGUCAGGGAUGCUGGCAAACUUCCUACAAUGCACAGGACUGCCUGGAAUAAUAAAGAAGGAUACAGCCCUAAAUUGUCAACAAUGCACAUCUUGAGAAAAAUGUUCCAAAGUAAAAGCUGAGUGAUUGUUCAUCAGCUAAAUAAAUGAUUUGCUACAGCCCUUGCAUUACUGGCUUUCUGCCCAUCAGUAUUACCUCAAGAUGAUUUAAAGCAAAGGCUUUCUGGUUAAAAUGUGAUGAAGGCUAAAAUCAAAAUGGCAAAGAGCCGGGGAGCACUUCAGGUGGAACGUAAGUUCACUUAUGAGGUAAAGCACUCAUGUAAGGUGAGUGGCCAUACCCUGGUGUUCAACUCAGCUUGAAUUUUAGCU
rnacentral:lncRNA from 1 species